AUGCAUAUACCCUACAAGCUGCAAUUACAGGGUAUAAAUAGUCUGCGCGUGGCGUACCAUUUGGUUUUUGUCUAUAAUGAGCAUGGGAACAUAAAAGCAGCGGAACGAUUUCUCGCAUGCAAAAUCAACCAGACACAGUUCGAAGGGAAAGAGGUAGGCAGCCGAGUGCAAGGGGGGGGCAGGGAAAAUGCAGUGCGAAAUUGAAAACGAUUUUAUUUUUAAAAUUUGUCAUUACGUUUGUCGUUUUAAUAAGCCAUUGCAUAAAAGCGCGACGUUUAUGUAAGCUAAAGUGCAUGACGGCCCCGGACUGGGCCGUUGGGAGCAAAAACUUUAGUUCCAAAUUCAUUCUGAGUAAUUUUAUAAUAAUUUGUAAUAUUUAAUAUACGAUAAUCAGACACGGCAAUGAAUUGAGAAGCGGUACGAGGGGCAGGUCAAUGUCUGGUGAAUCUCAAUCGAUAAUGAUAUAAGAGAUAGAGACAGACUAUAAGGACGGGUAUUGUGCAAGCAAGUGCUCUGUCUGGGUCUGGCUGUGAUUCAUUAUUCGGAGUGCGAAGAUAAGAUGCAAAUCAUGAUCAUCAUAUAAACGAUAACGUUUGUCUAAUUAUAAAGAUAAGAACUGCCGAAGAUCUUGCGAUAUGGUUUCUGAUAAUUGACUAAUCGCAUUUGCAUCAGCAAAUAGUAAAAGCCAAAAAUAAGCAGAGUAUAAAACUUACGAGUGCUCGACUUUGCGUUGCCCUAGACCCAAAUCAGCUCUUAUUCAACUUUCAGUAAAAGCUUGAACUCCACAAAAAUUCAACCAAAACAAAAAAUGAUGGUCCAAGAGUUGAUUUAUAGAUUAUCUGAAUUAAAAUAUAACGAGAAAUAAAGCAUAUCUUUGGCAUGUCGAAGAUUUAAUACCCUUUAGACAGCUUGUAAAUGCGGAGUUUGGUGAAAAGGUCCUUCAGAACAGACUCUAUUUUUCGGCCGAUUAAAGUCGAGAGACUAGAUCGCAAAGAUACAGACAGACGAACGGAUGGGCACGGCUCUAAUAACUCGGCUGAUGCUGCUCUAGAAUAUAUACAUAUAUAUAGAUCCACCCACUAAGCGUUACACAAUUUCUAAGAAAACUAGAAUAUCCUCUACAAGGGUAUAAAAAGAACAACAACUCUGUACAUAUUCGCAUAUACAUAAGUAUAUAAAAGACACGCCUGCUGCUGAAUACUGUAUGCUUGUAAUUUAACUCAUGUUGGAAAAUAAAAAUUAAUGUGCUAA